UCCCCCAAUGCCAUCUUUUAUGAAACCACCUUCCCUUUACACAUUCCUUCCCCACCUCAAACUACCUCCCCCCAUAUUGACUUACUUGAACCAGACCUAGAACCCUUAAUCCCUUCACCAACCACUACUCCUCUUCUUCCUUAUGAUUCUGCCCCUAACAGUCCCAACCAUUCCAUCCUUAUCCAUCCUCCCAUUGAUUAUCCCCCAACCCAUUCUGCCAUUAAUAUUUCUCCUCCCAUUGCUACUCCUCCCUUAGAAACUGCUCCCUUACGCCAAUCCACUAGGACUAUUCGACCCCCUAGUUACCUCAAAGAUUAUCACUACAACCUUCUUACAAACCAUUCCACCACAACUGUCACUUUCGAUGAUAAUCCAUUCCCCAUUUCCUCGGCUUUACACUAUAACAACUGUUCCUCACAAUAUAAAUUUUUUUGUCUCUCUAUUUCCUCAAUGGCUGAAGCAAAGACAUAUAAUCAGACUUGUAAAUCACCUUCCUGGAUAAAUGCUAUGCAAACUGAACUAAGUGCCUUAGCAUCCACUAACACCAGGUCCAUAGUUACUUUACCACCCAACAAGAAACCAAUAGCUUGCAAGUGGGUCUAUAAAAUUAAAUACAAUGCAGAUGGUUCCACUGAGCGCUACAAAGCUCACCUUGUGGCCAAAGGCUACACCCAAAUUGAAGGUAUCAAUUACUUCGACACAUUCUCUCCGAUUGUAAAGCUCACUACGAUUGCGAUUGGGCUACUUGCCCCAUUUCCAGAAAAUCUGUAACAGGUUAUGCGGUGUUCCUUGGCACAUCUCUCAUAUCGUAGAAAUCCAAAAAGCAAUCAACUGUUUCGCGUAGCAGCUCUGAGGCGGAAUACCGUGCCCUUGCAAGUCUAGCAUGCGAAAUACAAUGGCUCCACUACCUUUUCACAGAUCUCAACAGUCCUUUCACUCAUCCAACUUAUGUCUAUUGUGACAAUAAUUUUGCGAUAUAUCUAGCUCACAAUCUGUCAUUCCAUGAAAGAUCCAAACAUAUCGAGAUCGACUGCCACGUCAUCCAUGAAAAAGUCGAAGCUGACCUCCUUAAGCUGUUCCCCAUCAGCACGAAGACACAAGUAGUUGACUUCUUAACCAAGCAGCUCUACAGACCCGCCUUUGAAAGCCAUAUUUCCAAGCUUGGACUACUCAACCUUCAUAGUCCAGCUUGUGGGGGUGUCUCAAUUAUAGAAAAUAUAGACUAAGUCCUCUAUUUUAUAUAUGGCCUAUAUGUAUUUCCGUUUCUAUCUUUCCUCAUAUAUAGGAUAGUUAGUUAGUUUAUAUGUAUAUAAAUAUGGGACUUUCCCUUAAUAAUCAUACAGAGAGUUCUAUUGUUUGUUUGUUGUAAUGACGUGUUCUAUUCUAAUGAGAACAUUGUGAUCAACACUACAGAAACCGAACCCUAACCUAACUAAAGUGCUCGGUCCGACCACAUUAGCAACAAAUUACAACAAUUAACAUGGGAAAAUAUUAAGGAGUGUGCAGAAAUGUAAAAUCAAUAAGAUUGUACUAAAUCAGAGCUCCGGCGAGGGGUCUAAGCUCCGAAGAGUUCAAAAUUCUCAGGUACCGUUUAUUCUAUUUCAACUUUCUUUCUUUAUAUUCUUCUCUUACUUAUCCUUCUAAUUCUUAUGUUACUUCUUAUUCUAUGUGUGCUGCUAAUGCAUGUUGUUGAGGCGAUCUCUAGAAGAAUGUGAGCCCGACCUUAUCAGCAAAAGACAUGUUGGAAGACCCUGAUGCACUCUAUUUCCUCUAAAGAAUAUUCAAAGCAGUGUUAGAAGAACUUGCUUCAAUUCUCGCCGACCAUAUCCCCAUCUUAAAAGGCGUAGAUUUACUUUGUCCUUCAUCAAAUCUGCACACAAUCAUGAUCGUAAGAAUAUGCCAUGAAUAAGAAAAAUAAAGACAAAAAUUUAGAGCUUCCGAAACUUACUGAAAAUGAAUUUACUUUCUUCCUGGAGCGGUCCUCCAUCAAAAAUUGAAUAUCAAUUAGGCGCUGCAAGCGUUUCAGGCCAGCCUCCUCCGUGGGGGUGUCUCGCUCCCUGUAACCCAGGUCACUGAUAAAGCUCAUAAUCUAUUUCUUUUGGUACAAAACUUUUGUAGUGAUACCCUCAUUUUUAUAGACAUACACCCAACUUUCCAUAAGAAAGUGAGUCUGAAUCCAGUACUUAGGGAACAACUGAGCAAAUCUGCCCUUCACUCCAUCCCCACUAGCGUAAACCGUAGCGUGAGCCUCAGGAUGGAUAAGGGUGACCAGAAAGACCGAUCUUCAAAAGGAGGUUGCUUGGGAAGAGUCCCAAAGCCCCGGGCGAUCAGCACCAGAGAAAUCAAUCCCCUACUCUGUGUUUGAGUUGCAGGACUCCAACGACAACAAAAGAGAUGAAAGAAAAGGGCCAGAGAAGGCUUCUCUUUCAAGUAUUCACACAAAUACUAGAAGAAUUGAACAUAUGCCCAACUUUAUGAACGAAGUUGUGAAGGAGACAUUAACGGGUGAUUAAUAACAUGAAGAUGAUAAAAAUACACAAGAAUGAAGGGGGUUGAGUUUUGUAUGCCGAAAAAAUUCUUUUCACUUAUGAUUCUAGAACAUCAGAUUCUAAACUAGGUUCAGAGUCUGAUACCAGAGUGAGUAACAACAAUGAAAGAUUUACUUCCUUUUAUUAACUCUAUUUUAUAACAUAAGGUGUCAAGCUCAGAAUCUGAUACAGGUAAGAGGUUGAAUCAGAUUAGAGUCUAACUUCUGAGUUUGUUGCACAUCUGAAUAUAAAUUUCAAAAGUAAAUAAAUAGACACACAAUACAUCUUGGUUCCUCUCAAA